UGCCAAAAUCUGCUGCUUGCGUGAUG
rnacentral:sRNA from 1 species